CCCACAACCAAUUUUCUUGUGUCACACGUAUUUUAAGGAUCCCAAGAAAAAAGAAAAAUUAUCAUUUGCGCAGAUUCAUCCCCUAACCCUCUCUAUCCUAUAUCUUUUUUUCUGUUAAUUAAUAAUAAAGAAAAAGAAGAAGAGGAGCAGCAGCGCAGCAUGGCAGCUCCGUCUGCUCUGUAAUUAGCCCAGAGGAACCUUCCUUUAUUAGAAAACAAAAAACAAAAAAGCUCGAUCCCCUCGUCCUCUUCCUUAUCCCCUUCCUAUCCUCCUCCCGAUCCCGCUCUGCCUCGUCCCCCCCUGAGUGCAGCCUCCAGGAGAGGAGCGCUGCGUCCAUGAGCCUGCGCGUGCCACCAGCGCCGCCAUCUUCCCUCGCUCCGGCCAGUGAGCCAGACCGCGCCACCCUCCUUCCUCUUUCGUGCACCGUCCUGCAGCUUAGCCGAGCCGCGAACUCUGCUACACGCGGCCAUGGACGACUGCCUCCAGUCGUUCUCUGCUUCGGCCUCCCUCCUCUUAGCUCUUGCGCCGCACCAGUGGCUCUAUUUCGGUCGCCUGUCUCCCGCCAUGGCAGAGCGUCAUCUUCCUGCUUCGCCCGCGCGCGCCUCCCUGAUUCUCCCGUUGCCUCUGGCGACCUCGCCGGCUAGCAGCCGCCGGCCAUCGGCCUCCCCGUCCCCGUCGCCUCCUUCCUGCCAACUCCGGCCCCUACCUCGCUCCACCUCUUCCCGUGGUGUCCACCUCUGCUUCUGGCCAUGGCGCUGCUCACCUGCGCCUCCCCAACACCCCUGCUGCUGCCAAGUACCUCGGUCGAUGACGACAACCGCGACCCCUCCGGACGCCGGUCACCAGAGCAACCACACCAGCCGCUCCUGCCAUCUCUCCUUCUCCUCCCUCCCUCUGCCUUCUCUUUCCCUGCCUCACCGGCCGCCCCUGCCACCUCUCCUUUUCCUCCAUCUCUCUGCCUUCUCUGUCCCUGCCUCACCUCUCUCUCGAUCUCUCCAGGACGCCACCACCCGCUGACCCGGUAGGGAAUCAACCGCCUCUGGCCACAUCUUGACCGGAUCCGGUGACCCCGGAUGUCGUCGCCUUAGAUCCGCACGGCCCCGGCCUCCUCACCUCACCUGCAGCCGCCGCUAGAAGCC
rnacentral:rRNA from 1 species